CGAUUCUGUGGUGCACCCCCAAGGUGGGUAGCGCACCCCAGUGUGUCCUUGGGCUGAGUAGCCGUCGAUAUUGCCGUUUAUUCUGCCCGCCCGACAGGAGCUCUUUUCCCGCACGUCUGUUCAGCUUAGCGGUCAGACUCCGCCCCCCAAUAUGUCUCUUUUUGCCCACUUUUUACCGGCCUACAGCAUACGUUGGUUUCGGCACACCUCAACUGAUUAUUCCUAAAGCUACA